CUAAAUAUAUUGCAAGGUAUGUUUAUCAAACGCAUGCUGAUAUUGCUGUAUUUUGUUGAUAUAACAAAUAUCGCAACAUUAAAUAUACAAAAAAUUUGUUCAUAAUGAUUAGAUUUUAAUCCGCGAUGUAUAAACAUGCAAAGGGUUAAAAAAAUUACUUAGCAAUUAAAAUUCUAUGUGAUUUUGAAACUGGCACACAAAGCAGGAUGAGUUUUCUAAUCUAAACUAACCUAAACUAACCGCCUGUCACUAUAUAAGAGAAACGAGAGGACUUUCUACAGGAAAUAAACAAUGAAUUGAAUAAUUAUUGAAUAAAUAAAGGAAAAUGAAAAAAUAUCUGAUAUCAAAGAAAAAAGUUUAUCAAACUGUCACACUAUGUUUAUAAUCCAAAGAAACAUUUAUCAAUGUAACUGGUUGGAUGCAUUUCAAUAACAGGAAUUUAAUGCACUAAUAAGAUGUGACAAAGGCAAUGAAAGUACAUUAUUCCUCUUGGAAAAUAUGUAUCGUUAAUAUGUUUUUGUAUGAUUCAAGAUAUUUACAGAGAUGUCUGUUUACAUAAUUUCUGAACCAUAGUUAUAAUUCAAUUAAAUCGAGCUGAUGUAAUGACAUUCCUAUUAUUAGAUAUGUGUGCUUCUCUAUUGACAAAUAUAGAACUAUUUUCAAGUUGUUUAGCAAGUUAACGCAUAUGUAACAAAGCAAGUGUACCAUAUUUUGUUUCAUGACAUACCAUACAUUCAAAUUUAUAUAAUAAAAUAAAGAAAAAUUGGUUUGUUAAAAAAAUAUAUACAUAUAUAAGAGAAGGUAUAGAAGAUUAAUUCAAAUUUGACAUUUAAUUUAAUUUUGACAUAUUAAACAACCGUACAAGUAUAUAAGUAUUUCAUUAAAAAAUAACUGAUUAGAAUUUUUAAUACUUUUAAU